GACGAACGCUGGCGGCGUGCUUAACACAUGCAAGUCGAACGGAAAGGCCCUGCUUUUGUGGGGUGCUCGAGUGGCGAACGGGUGCGUAACACGUGAGUAACCUGCCCUUGACUUUGGGUUAACUUCAGGAAACUGGGGCUAAUACCGGAUAGGAGCUCCUGCUGCAUGGUGGGGGUUGGAACGUUUCGGCGGUUGGGGAUGGACUCGCGGCUUAUCAGCUUGUUGGUGGGGUAGUGGCUUACCAAGGCUUUGACGGGUAGCCGGCCUGAGAGGGUGACCGGCCACAUGGGGACUGAGAUACGGCCCAGACUCGUACGGGAGGCAGCAGUGGGGAAUAUUGCACAAUGGGCGGAAGCCUGAUGCAGCAACGCCGCGUGCGGGAUGACAGCCUUCGGGUUGGAAACCGCUUUCGCCUGUGACGAAGCGUGAGUGACGGUAAUGGGUAAAGAAGCACCGGCUAACUACGUG
rnacentral:rRNA from 1 species